rnacentral:rRNA from 1 species
ACUCAUGAGUUUACAAUGACCAAAAAUACGGUCACGUGGUGAGAAAGUCCCAAAGGAUAGUAAGGUUUGAAUAGUACUAGGUUGGGUGACUUCCCGGGAAGUCCAAACUCAUGAGUU